rnacentral:rRNA from 1 species
GACGAACCGAGCGAACGUUGUUCGGAAUCACUGGGCUUAAAGGGCGCGUAGGCGGGUGCUCAAGUCCGGGGUGAAAUCCUCCAGCUCAACUGGAGAACUGCCUCGGAUACUGGGUGUCUCGAGUGUGGUAGGGGUAUGCGGAACUAUCGGUGGAGCGGUGAAAUGCGUUGAUAUCGAUAGGAACUCCGGUGGCGAAGGCGGCAUCCUGGACCAAUACUGACACUGAGGAGCGAAAGCCAGGGGAGCAAACGGG